rnacentral:lncRNA from 1 species
AGUUUUCCACAGGUUCAUAGAGAAACCAUGAACAGCUUCAACAAGGAAGAAUCUGACUGCCGUGUCCUCAAUGAAGACUUCACUGCCUAGGACAUUCAGAGUCAAAAAACUAAUGAAGUUUCUUCUGAUGAUGUUGUUGUGGACUUCAAAGACAGUCUAAAGAAACAGCUAAGGGAGACACCAGGAGCCAAACAGACAGACAGAGAUGGAGGAAGCAGGAAAGCAGGACAUACAGAAUGAAAGCAAGGAAGCACUCUGUUGGCCUGUGUAUGACUCAUGAAGAACUGAGCAGUCACGCAUUGGAAGAAGCAUUGGAAUCAAUUCCCAGCCAGGAUGUCAAAGUGCAGAGUCCUUGUUUUUACGACCUCCACCCAGCUGUCAUUGCACUUGACCAACAUGGUGAAACCAUAACCUUGAUUAAAUAUUCACUGUGCUGAAGCCAGCUAAGGACUUCCCUGAUUACAUGUGUGUAGGCGGAAUCAAAUAACUCAGACAAAAUGGCCAGUUCCAUUGUAGUUUUGAGGUCCACGGUUCUUGUUAGCAUCUGAACUUUUCACCUUUUCUGUUUUC